UUCUGACUUUUCUAGGGACACUCCCAUGGCAUAUGGAGGUUGCCAGGCUAGGGGUCUAAUCAGAGAUGUAACCGCCAGCCUCCGCCAGAGCCACAGCAACACGGGAUCUGAGCCCCGUCUGCGACCUACACCACAGCUCAGGGCAACGCCGGAUCCUUAACCCACUGAGCAAGGCCAGGGAUCGAACCAGCAAUCUCAUGGUUCCUAGUCGGAUUCGUUAACCACUGAGCCAUGACGGGAACUCCGUAAAAUGCAUUUUUAAAGGGAGGAUAUACUCCCAUGAAAAGAAAGGCUUCAGUCUUGGCCUUAGCUGCCUGCCCCUCACUGCCCUUUGAUGUUCACCUCGAUGCAAAAGAUGUGCAAAGAGAAGAGUGGACCUGAGGUUGGAAACUGAUGUGGGAAAAGUUCAACUGCUCUGGAAACGAGAAGGCUUGGUGUUACCUAUAGGUGAUCUGGGAGGGAGAGGAGAGGAAAUGGGGAAAAAAUCCCACUGAAAGGACUCUGAAGGCUGCCAAAGGACUGAGUUGUUUGCUGGGUGGUGCACCAAUGCCAUCCCCAGUCAGCAUCCCCCAGACAUCAAGAGAGGUGCUGCGGCUGCAGGAAACAGCCUUGUGCUCAGCUCUGGGACAGUGGUGGAGAGGGGCCCGUUUCACAUCUGAUCCCGUUAGGUCAGCCGGGGAAAGAGGGUGAUGUUCUGGAACUCAGAACAGGCAGUGAACAGGGUUCAAAUGUGCUCCCCUGGGAAUCCUCAGAGGUCUGGGGGCAGGACCGGACUGCGCACAGGAUCUGUAAUGGGGGAUUCUGGUCGAUACUUCUGGUCAAUACUCUGACCAACCAACUGGCACCAGAUGAUGUAUGGUCUGUAUAUUUCUACUUCAGAAAAAUGGAACAAUAAUAACAUGUGUCAUUUUGCAAGUUUUUUUUCUAACUUACAGCAUGAAUGUUGACCCAUACCAUUAGAUACUCUAUGAAAACAUGGUUUGUAACACCAGCAUAGAAUUCCACUCUCUGCAUGCAUAAAAAUUUACUUAACUAUGCUCUUACUGGGGCAAUUAAGUGAUUUACAAGUUUUUGCCCUUAUAAAUAAUGCAGUGAUGACCUCUAUGUAUACAACUCUUUUUGAACAGCUCUGAUUAUUUUGCCAGAAAAAAAAAAAAAAGGAGUAAAUUGUCCUCUAAAUAUGCUGUGCCAGUUAACCCACCUGCAGAAAUGCCUGCUUUACCGCUCCUUGCCAAUGCCGGUUAUUACCAAUUAAAAGUAGAUAUGUUUCGGUAAUCUUUUAAGUUAAAUUUUAUUUGAUUAUCUGUGACACUGGACGUUUUAAAUUUGUUUUUCGCCAUUCACAUUUUGUUUGGCAAUUACCUAUUUAUGCCCUUUAAAAAAAAUCGGUGUGAUAUUUUUAUUGACUUGUUAGAGGCCUUUAUGUAUAAGAAUAUUAUCCCUUUUUUCUCUAUUUUGUAACACAUUUCCCCAGACCUAGUUUACCUAUUUGCUUUUUGAAUUUUGUUAAUAUAUAAAGGAGACUUUUCUUCUUCCUUUUUUUAGCUACUAAAAUUGUAAACCAUACCUCAAUGGUAAAUGCAUUGCCUCCUAAUGAAUUCUAAGUCCCUCCUUGUACAAAAGCAACAUUUUCUUUAUUCCCUUCUGGUUCUUGCUUUUUUCUGUUUUUAAUUUACAUCCUUUGUUUUUUACUUGGCUGCAUCUGCAGCAUGUGAAAAUUCCUGGGCCAGGGAUCGAACCUGCUGCACAGCAGCAACCCAGGCCGCUGCAGUGACAACGCCAGAUCCUUACCCAUCGCGCCACAAGAGAAUUCCUUAAUUUACAUUCUUAAUCAAUCCAGAAUUUAUUUAGUAUAUCAAGAUAUUUAUACAAUGCAUUUUUUCCCCAAAUUAUUCACCAAUUACAAAUCACUGUGUGUUAAUCAAUUCUCUAUUCAUAUAAAUUUUGGAAGCCAGGGUCACCCUGUGUUGGAUUAUUUUCUGGGCUUUAAUUAUUACAGCUAUAAUAAAUAUUGAUAUUUCACAGUGAAAUCCACUCCCCCAACCACCACUUUUUCAAAGUGUUCUUUACUGCUUUCUCCUAUAUAUUCUUUCAGGUCACUUUUUGAAAUCACUUUGUCAAGUUCCAAAAAGAUUCUCAUUAGGGCUUUGAUUGCAAUUGUAUCAAGCUCCUAAAUUAAUUUGGGGAGAACUGAUACCUCCACAAUAUUAAAUUUGCUAAUCCAACAACAUGAUAUAUCUCUCCACUUAUUCAGGCCUUGUUUUAUCAUCCUCAAUAAAGUUUUGUAAGUGUGUGUGCCUUCAUAGAGUUUCAGCACAUUUCUUGGUUUACUCCUAAGUAUUUACGUUUUAAUUGCAUUUGAGAAUAGGAUACAUUUUAUUAUAUUUUUAUAAUGGUUAUUACUGGCAUAUAGCUAUUGAUUUUUGUUUAUUUGCUUUGUGUCUGACCAUAAUACUGAAAUCUCUUAGUGGUUCUAACAGCUUUUUUUUUUUUUUGAUUCAGUUUAUUCUCUUAGGCUUCGAGACGAAAAGAACAUUUUCUGCUAAAAAUAAGAAAGUGUCUUUCCAUUCCUAGCCCACAAAGAAUUCUGAUCAGUAAUGAAGGCUGAAUUUUUUCAAAUUACUUUUCCGUCUCUCUGGAGAAGAUCAGAUGGUUUUUAUCCUUUGACCCACUGAUACGAAGCAUUAGACUAAUAGUUUUUCUAAUAUUCAAC
rnacentral:lncRNA from 1 species